UCCGUAGGUGAACCUGCGGAAGGAUCAUUAGUGAAUUUUGAGUGCUUCUAUAUGAAGGGUCGACCUCCACUUCUAACACUGUGCAUUAACAAAUUUGGUUAGGUUUUUGAGACGCAAGUCUCUAUAAGCCAGCCUUAUUUAUUCAUUACAAACUUCAGUUAAAGAAUGUAACAAACCAAAAACAAAAAAAACUUUCAACAACGGAUCUCUUGGGUCUCGCAUCGAUGAAGAACGCAGCGAAAUGUGAUAAGUAAUGUGAAUUGCAGAAUUCAGUGAAUCAUCGAAUCUUUGAACGCACCUUGCGCUCUCUGGUAUUCCGGAGAGCAUGCCUGUUUGAGUGUCAUGAACUCUUCAACCCACCUAUUUCUUGUAAAUUGUUGUGGUGUUUGGAUUUUGAAUGUCUGCUGGGCUUUUUGGGGAAGCUCAUUCGUAAUGCAUUAGCAUCUCAAAUUCGUUUUUCGGAUUGACUCAGCGUGAUAGACUUUCUUCGCUGAGGACAUUAGUUUUUCUAAUGGGCGAUUUUCGUAAAGUAGAAGCUUCUAAUCAAGUCAACUUUUGAUUUAGACCUCAAAUCAGGUAGGAUUACCCGCUGAACUUAAGCAUAUCAAUAAGCGGAGGA
rnacentral:rRNA from 1 species